UGUCCAGGGAUGGGAAUCGAACCCACAGUGUUCCGCUUACCGGGCAGAUGCCAUGUCCACUAGGAUAGCUUUUUAUGGCUACAC